CACUGCUCAGCAAGGGGGAUAAACGGACUGGACUGACACUCAGCAAUUGCCGUGAAUGUCGCUGUUCCGAGGCUCCAGGCACAGGGAGGAGAGAUCACUCAUUGUUACCAUCUACCUGUAAUACCGGGACCUGAGAGACGGAUCCGAGGACGCUGCAGCUUUAGGGUCACUGCCCACCGGCUCCUGUCACAUUGCAGGAUAUUUGGGGUGAGCACGUAGCAGGGACCCCCCUUACUGAUGACGUGUUUCCAGCUCGCAGCAUGGUGCCUCUGGGUCCUCUACAUGGUAAUAAGAGCCGAUACUGCAAACUCAGAACAGAUCCAAAUACAGCAAAGUCCAGUGAAGCAGCGACGGUGCCCCUGCUGGUUGGUUUGGGUAUUGGUGUCAGUUUCGUGACACGCUGAUUCUAUAACGGUGGUUCUGAUCCACGCUGGAUAGAGAUGUAGGUGGCUGCAUCGUAGUGGAGGUCCCGCAGCAGUAAUCCACCGAAUGGGACGGCUUCUAUCUUCUGAUACAUAAUAAAGAUUUC